rnacentral:tRNA from 1 species
AUAGUUGUAGUAUAGUGGUAAGUAUUCCCGCCUAUCAGGCGGGUGACCCGGGUUCGAUCCCCGACAGCGGCG